rnacentral:rRNA from 1 species
UACGAAGGGGGCUAGCGUUGUUCGGAGUUACUGGGCGUAAAGGGCGCGUAGGCGGCUGUCCAAGUCAGGUGUGAAAGCCCGGGGCUCAACCCCGGAUGUGCACUUGAGACUGGGCGGCUUGAGGAUGGGAGAGGAUGGUGGAAUUCCCAGCGUAGAGGUGAAAUUCGUAGAUAUUGGGAAGAACACCGGUGGCGAAGGCGGCCAUCUGGACCAUUUCUGACGCUGAGGCGCGAAAGCGUGGGGAGCGAACAGG